AUGCCAGGUUCAACCUCCACUAUUCAGUCCUAUGCUGACAAGCCCCUGGAGUUAUAUGCCAGGUUCAACAUCCACGAUUCGGCCGAGGAGCUGACAAGCCCCUGGAGUUAUAUGCCAGGUUCAACCUCCACUAUUCAGUCCUGUGAGCUGACAGCCCCUGGAGUUAUAUGCCAGGUUCAACCUCCACUAUUCAGUCCUAUGCUGACAAGCCCCUGGAGUUAUAUGCCAGGUUCAACCUCCACUAUUCAGUCCUAUGCUGACAAGCCCCUGGAGUUAUAUUCUUGGUUCAACCUCCACUAUUCAGUCCUAUGCUGACAAGCCCCUGGAGUUAUAUUCCAGGUUCAACCUCCACUAUUCAGUCCUGUGAGCUGACAAGCCCCUGGAGUUAUAUGCCAGGUUCAACCUCCACUAUUCAGUCCUGUGAGCGACAAGCCCCUGGAGUUAUAUGCCAGGUUCAACCUCCACUAUUCAGUCCUGUGAGCUGACAAGCCCUGGAGUUAUAUGCCAGGUUCAACCUCCACUAUUCAGUCCUGUGAGCUGACAAGCCCCUGGAGUUAUAUGCCAGGUUCAACCUCCACUAUUCAGUCCGUGA
rnacentral:lncRNA from 1 species